UACGUAGGGUGCGAGCGUUGUCCGGAAUUAUUGGGCGUAAAGAGCUCGUGGGCGGUCUGUCGCGUCUGCUGUGAAAACUCAGGGCUUAACCCUGAGCUUGCAGUGGGUACGGGCAGACUAGAGUGCGGUAGGGGAGACUGGAAUUCCUGGUGUAGCGGUGAAAUGCGCAGAUAUCAGGAGGAACACCGGUGGCGAAGGCGGAUCUCUGGGCCAUUACUGACGCUGAGGAGCGAAAGCGUGGGGAGCGAACAGG
rnacentral:rRNA from 1 species